GACGAACGCUGGCGGCGUGCUUAACACAUGCAAGUCGAACGGAAAGGCCCUGCUUUUGUGGGGUGCUCGAGUGGCGAACGGGUGAGUAACACGUGAGUAACCUGCCCUUGACUUUGGGAUAACUUCAGGAAACUGGGGCUAAUACCGUAUAGCAGCUCCUGCUGCAUGGUGGGGGUUGGAAAGUUUCGGCGGUUGGGGAUGGACUCGCGGCUUAUCAGCUUGUUGGUGGGGUAGUGGCUUACCAAGGCUUUGACGGGUAGCCGGCCUGAGAGGGUGACCGGCCACAUUGGGACUGAGAUACGGCCCAGACUCCUACGGGAGGCAGCAGUGGGGAAUAUUGCACAAUGGGCGGAAGCCUGAUGCAGCAACGCCGCGUGCGGGAUGACGGCCUUCGGGUUGUAAACCGCUUUCGCCUGUGACGAAGCGUGAGUGACGGUAAUGGGUAAAGAAGCACCGGCUAACUACGUG
rnacentral:rRNA from 1 species